rnacentral:rRNA from 1 species
AUUGAACGCUGGCGGCAGGCCUAACACAUGCAAGUCGAGCGGAUGAAGGGAGCUUGCUCCUGGAUUCAGCGGCGGACGGGUGAGUAAUGCCUAGGAAUCUGCCUGGUAGUGGGGGAUAACGUCCGGAAACGGGCGCUAAUACCGCAUACGUCCUGAGGGAGAAAGUGGGGGAUCUUCGGACCUCACGCUAUCAGAUGAGCCUAGGUCGGAUUAGCUAGUUGGUGGGGUAAAGGCCUACCAAGGCGACGAUCCGUAACUGGUCUGAGAGGAUGAUCAGUCACACUGGAACUGAGACACGGUCCAGACUCCUACGGGAGGCAGCAGUGGGGAAUAUUGGAACAUGGGCGAAAGCCUGAUCCAGCCAUGCCGCGUGUGUGAAGAAGGUCUUCGGAUUGUAAAGCACUUUAAGUUGGGAGGAAGGGCAGUAAGUUAAUACCUUGCUGUUUUGACGUUACCAACAGAAUAAGCACCGGCUAACUUCGU